GGCUGGUCCUGUGGUAGUAGGUUAUCAGAAUUUAUUAAUGGUAGUAUCCCUGAAGUUGGUGUACAACCCCCCGCUGCCAAAUAUGACUGGCUUAAA
ensembl:misc_RNA Y_RNA Y RNA